rnacentral:rRNA from 1 species
GACGAACGCUGGCGGCGUGCUUAACACAUGCAAGUCGAACGGGAAGUCCCUGCUUUUGUGGGGUGCUCGAGUGGCGACCGGGUGAGUAACCCGUGAGUUACCUGCCCUUGACUGUGGGAUAACUUCAGGACACUGGGGCUCAUACCGGCUAGGAGCUCCUGCUGCAUGGUGGGGGUUGGUAAGAUUCGGCGGUUGGGGAUGGACUAGCGGCUUAUCAGCUUGUUGGUGGGGUAGUGGAUUACCAAGGCCAUGACAGGUAGCCUGCCUGGGAGGGUAACCGGCCACAUUGGAACGGAGAUGAGGCCCGGACUACUACGGGACGCAGGGGUGCGGAGUGUUACAUAGGGGGCUGAGGCCUGAUGUAGCCAAGCCGCGUGGGGUAAGACGGCCAGCGGGUUGGAUUCCGCUGUCGCCUUUGACGAAGCGUUAAUGACGGUAAUGGGUAAAGAAGCACCGGCUAACUCCGUG